rnacentral:misc_RNA from 1 species
GAUGAAGAACGUAGCGAAAUGCGAUAAGUAAUGUGAAUUGCAGAAUUCAGUGAAUCAUCGAAUCUUUGAACGCACAUUGCGCCCGCCAGUAUUCUGGCGGGCAUGCCUGUUCGAGCGUCAUUACAACCCUCAGGCCCCCGGGCCUGGCGUUGGGGAUCGGCGGAGCCCCCCGUGGGCACACGCCGUCCCCCAAAUGCAGUGGCGGUCCCGCCGCAGCUUCCAUCGCGUAGUAGCUAACACCUCGCGACUGGAGAGCGGCGCGGCCACGCCGUAAAACACCCAACUCUUCUGAAGUUGACCUCGAAUCAGGUAGGAAUACCCGCUGAACUUAAGCAUAUCAAUAAGCGGGGGA